GAGCGAAGUCCGGAUACAUGCUGUCAAGAAAAGCCGCUAUUGCGCCAUAUGUACCCGUACCGUAAACCGACACAGGUGGAUGAGGAGAGAAUCCUAAGGCCGGCGGGAGAAGUGUUGUUAAGGAACUCGGCAAAAUGGCCCCGUAACUUCGGGAGAAGGGGCGCCCAGAAAUGGGCCGCAGAGAAAAGGCUCAAGCAACUGUUUAGCAAAAACACAGGUCUAUGCGAAACCGAAAGGUGAGGUAUAUGGGCUGACGCCUGCCCGGUGCUGGAAGGUUAAGGGGAGAGGUUAGCCGCAAGGCGAAGCUUUGAACUUAAGCCCCAGUAAACGGCGGCCGUAACGAUAACGGUCCUAAGGUAGCGAAAUUCCUUGUCGGGUAAGUUCCGACCCGCACGAAAGGCGUAAUGAUCUGAGCACUGUCUCGACAACACACCCGGUGAAAUUGAAAUACCAGUGAAGAUGCUGGUUACCUGCGCCAGGACGGAAAGACCCCAUGGAGCUUUACUCUAGUUUGAUACUGGGACCCGGUAUGACAUGUACAGGAUAGGUGGGAGGCAGAGAAUUAAUGACGCCAGUCAUUAAGGAGCCGAUGUUGGGAUACCACCCUUGUGAUGCCAGGUUUCUAACGAGCUGCUGUGAACCGGCAGGCGGACAAUGUCAGGCGGGGAGUUUGACUGGGGCGGUCGCCUCCGAAAGGGUAUCGGAGGCGCUCAAAGGUUCCCUCAGAAUGGUUGGAAACCAUUCGGAGAGUGCAAAGGCAGAAGGGAGCCUGACUGCGACACCGACGGGUGGAGCAGGUACGAAAGUAGGACUUAGUGAUCCGGUGGUAUAAAGUGGGAUUGCCAUCGCUCAACGGAUAAAAGCUACCCUGGGAUAACAGGCUUAUCACUCCCAAGAGUUCACAUCGACGGAGUGGUUUGGCACCUCGAUGUCGGCUCAUCGCAUCCUGGGGCUGGAGUAGGUCCCAAGGGUUGGGCUGUUCGCCCAUUAAAGCGGUACGCGAGCUGGGUUCAGAACGUCGUGAGACAGUUCGGUCCCUAUCCGGCGCGGGCGUAAGAGAUUUGAGAGGAGCUGUCCUUAGUACGAGAGGACCGGGAUGGACGGACCACUGGUGUAUCUGUUGCACCACCAGGUGCACGGCAGAGUAGCCAAGUCUGGAAGGGAUAAACGCUGAAGGCAUCUAAGCGUGAAGCCCCCCUCAAGAUAAGAUCUCUCAUUCGAAAGAAGUAAGACCCCUUGAAGACGACGAGGUAGAUAGGGCAGGGGUGGAAGGGCAGUAAUGUCCGGAGCUGACUGUUACUAAUCGGUCGAGGGCUUGACCAA
rnacentral:rRNA from 1 species